CCUACGCGUGGCAGCAGUGGGGAAUAUUGCACAAUGGGGGAAACCCUGAUGCAGCGACGCCGCGUGAGUGAAGAAGUAUUUCGGUACGUACAGCUCUAUCAGCAGGGAAGAAAAUGACGGUACCUGACUAAGAAGCCCCGGAUAACUACGUGCCAGCAGCCGCGGUAAUACGUAGGGGGCAAGCGUUAUCCGGAUUUACUGGGUGUAAAGGGAGCGUAGACGGCAGCGCAAGUCUGGAGUGAAAUCCCAUGGCUUAACCAUGGAACUGCUUUGGAAACUGUGCAGCUAGAGUGCAGGAGAGGUAAGCGGAAUUCCUAGUGUAGCGGUGAAAUGCGUAGAUAUUAGGAGGAACACCAGUGGCGAAGGCGGCUUACUGGACUGUAACUGACGUUGAGGCUCGAAAGCGUGGGGAGCAAACAGGAUUAGAUACCCGGGUAGUC
rnacentral:rRNA from 1 species